rnacentral:lncRNA from 7 species
ACCCUUGAAGAUAUAGUCAUAUUUUCAGCAACAGAUGGAUUUAACACUGCAGAUGGAGUGUUAAGAGUGCAGGGGCUGCUGGAGACCUGCCAACAGGAACUACUGACUGCAGAUUUGGGAAGAACGCAGGCAGUUUGGAAAGCGCGGUUUGCAGAGUUGUCUGUGGACUCUGAGAACAUAUUUAAAACCAGAAUUCUCUCUGGAACAUUGACUCUCGCUUGAUGGUAUGAUAGACUUCUACUUUAGAUCUGACCUGCAGAUGGGGUCACUGAUCACAUCGUCUCAUUCAUUGGUUGGACUUCUAUAUACAACGUUUGGAAUAAAGGAUUGCCUCAUGAGGUUCCCGCUGGCUGGUUGCAAUACCACUGAGAAUGGAAGGUCCAAAGCUGCAGCAGGAGGAAGGAACUUGGAAAAUGCAACUGGUGCGGAAGAGCGAGCAAGGUCACUGGUGACAAGGCUCUGCUCCAUCUGUGCAGCUUCUUCUGCACCAUCCCAUCUCUUUGCUGUUUCUGAGGUCAAAUCCAUAGGAGAUGUUCUGCGGAGUGAGCAGAGAGUGAGGAAGAUGCACAACAAAGAAGAGUAGGUAUGUUUUUGGUGGUUGGGGGAUUUAGGCAUGAGUUCCUUUGAAAUAUCGGAGUAUUUCUGAUGAAGAAGUCCCAAAGGCACUUAACCCCAAGAACCUCAAAGACAAAAUCUUUCUACAGCAUGCCCUUCACUCAGCUAGCUAUGAGAAGAUCAAUGCUGGGAUUGAUACACGAUUUGGGUCUUGGGUGAAAGAAGAAAUUGACAGUUACUAAUGUUUGAUUUAAACUAACACAUCGGAGGCCACAUGGGCGAUCCCUAAUUAGAGUCAAUUCACACUUUCCAUCCUUCGCCAGGGAGGCUGUCAAGACUCUAUGGGACCAGAUCCCAUGUCCACUCAGCUCUGCUACCUCCAGCAGCCAUUGAGACUGAGAAUCUGCGGUGGUUUAUCUCCACCCCAGCUCCUCUCCUGAGCAGCCAUGGAUGUGUGAUGUCUCCUCCAGGUCUCUGACACAGGGAUCUGAUUUCCAAGCUAACAGGUGACAGUGCUUCAAAGUCCUGCUAAGAAGUGCACCCACCUCGCUGCUGUUUGGAUCAGCCUCUGACAAUGAAUUUUUCCAUCCCUACAAGAACUGUCUUUGUUUUGCUUGAUGUUCAAGGACGGACGCUGCCAUACAUGCAUGAUGACACAGAAAGCCUAGAGGAUAGUCUUACUGCAUGGCUGACAGAUGGCAAGCGCACAGUCCAAGGGACGCUUUACAUCUACAUCAUGCCAGUCAACGAUGAAAUCCCUCAUCUUUCCAGAAAAUGUCUCCAGAUCUGACUCUAGCAGAGUCUGAAUCCCCAUUCUCAGAGCACAGGAAAACUGUUUGAUCACAAAAUACCUGGUGGACUCCAGUUGCGAAGUGUCUCCAUUCCUUGUUUUGGUUUGUUUCAACUUCUUGGAAGAUGAAGUCACUGAGCAAAGCCAUUUCCAGUGCCAGGUCAGAAAAAAACAUCCUCCUGCCUUCAGGUGACAUUGUUCUACUCGCCAAACCUGUAACUUUAACAGAGGGUGACAGGGUGACCUUGACGACAGAUGUUCCUGUGGCAACAGAUGGCACUAGCAAACCCGAGAAGCUGCUGUACGCCGUCUCCGUGCCACCUGUGCAUGGUCAGAUUGAGCACAUCAAUUAUCCCGGCGUGCCCAUUCCCAGACACAGCCGGUUGGAUGUGGUGGCCCAGAAGGUCCCCUCUAUCCAUGACAAUAGCUGUGAGGCCGGGAAGGAGCCACUCAGGGAUGGUUAUGACUUGGCCUGAAUCUCUGAGAAGACCUGAAGGUUUUCUUUGAAGGCUGCUGACCCAAAGCAUUGCAGUACCAGAACGCAAUGCAAGAGAGAGAAAAUGCUCCAGCAAGUGCAAUGGAUAGGAAUAGCAGGAAGUUCCUCAGAGCCCUUGGUCUUGUGCCCUUCCCAGAAGAUCACUCUGGUAUAACCGCAUGAAAUAGACUGUCGUAAACUGGGGCCAACUUAAUAAGAUGAAAAUACUCUACUAGCACAAUGGAAAUGCUAGGAAAAAUUGGAACAUUUUAUUUGACUAGUAGAGUCAAUAGUGGUUUUCUUGUCUGCAAAGAGAGGAGCAAGUAGAACCUAUAAUGCAGGUGUUUCCAUAAAAGCUCGGGACAGCCACAUUAAGGAAGAUGGCCUGAAAGAAAACCAUGCAAAUUAUACUGAGCACACCUAAAAACACUGUCCUGGGGCAAAACAGUGAGCUCACUGCAGAAACGAGGGAGCUGCCGACAGCACGGACAAAACUGAAUUGCUUGAACUGGCUUGUGUGAUCUCCAGUGCCUGAAGCCUCUCCAAACUGGGCUGUACAUUGCUGCUGCUAUACCAGUAUCAAACUACAGUAAUAACAAGCAUCUUUAAGUGCCUUACUUAAUACCAGAUUCAUUACCCUGAGAGUCCUUCCAUAGAAAUAGCUGGGAUAUAUAAUCAGAUCUGUAUUGGUCUUCUUACAAACCGCAGCGUGAAGGACAGCUUGGCUCAGAGGAGGCUGCACUGCAUGCAAAGGAGGGAGAUUAUCCAGAAAGCUAAGUAGUUUCAGAAGCAAUUUCAUCUGUGAAGACAAGAGCAAGCACAAGCCCUCAAGGCCACCGCAGCCCCAUCACCUGUGCCCUGAAGGCACCGAGCUGCUGCACACACCUUCCUCACCACCUCUGUCCUCUCCUGUGUGCUUUGGGACCCACAACGAAAGUCCGAGUUUGGACUUGGGGCAUAAAAUACGGCACCAUAAAAUAUUAUUGUAGGGGAAGAGUGAAAAUUUACUCAUUUUUGAGCAGGAGGGCAAGGUGAUUUUCUCUCGGUCCAGUAAUUCCCUCAUUUUUAUUGCUGGUGUUAUGGACCAGCUUCUCCGAGGUGCUUGGAUUUUGCUUAUAUUGCGUCCUCCUUCACAUCCGCUUUCAACAGUAAAACCCGUGUGGUUUUGAUCUCUUGCUUUCAUGCCUGCUGCCACACUCUGGAAAAUUUAAGAAGGGCGCAAGGAAUGGGUUAGUCACACUUGUUAAUAUUUAUCCCAUUGCAGAGUGAGUAGGGCUGACCUCAGAGCUUGGGCUUUGGAGAACAGUUAUGAGAACAAUUCCACCGCGCCGAAACGAAAUCUGCAUGCAAAGCUCGUUUGGUGCCUGGAAGGAGCUAGAAGGAAAUAAAGGUCUUAAAC